rnacentral:rRNA from 1 species
AGGACGAACGCUGGCGGCGUGCUUAACACAUGCAAGUCGAGCGGAAAGGCCCUUCGGGGUACUCGAGCGGCGAACGGGUGAGUAACACGUGAGCAACCUGCCCUACGCUUUGGGAUAACCCUCGGAAACGGGGGCUAAUACCGAAUAUUCAGUUCCUGUCGCAUGGUGGGGGUUGAAAGUUUUUCGGCGUGGGAUGGGCUCGCGGCCUAUCAGCUUGUUGGUGGGUGAUGGCCUACCAAGGCGACGACGGGU